GUGACUGCGUACCUUUUGUAUAAUGGGUCAGCGACUUAUAUUCUGUAGCAAGGUUAACCGAAUAGGGGAGCCGCAGGGAAACCGAGUCUUAAUUGGGCGUUAAGUUGCAGGGUAUAGACCCGAAACCCGGUGAUCUAGCCAUGGGCAGGUUGAAGGUUGGGUAACACUAACUGGAGGACCGAACCGACUAAUGUUGAAAAAUUAGCGGAUGACCUGUGGCUGGGGGUGAAAGGCCAAUCAAACCGGGAGAUAGCUGGUUCUCCCCGAAAGCUAUUUAGGUAGCGCCUCGUGAAUUCAUCUCCGGGGGUAGAGCACUGUUUCGGCUAGGGGGCCAUCCCGGCUUACCAACCCGAUGCAAACUGCGAAUACCGGAGAAUGUUAUCACGGGAGACACACGGCGGGUGCUAACGUCCGUCGUGAAGAGGGAAACAACCCAGACCGCCAGCUAAGGUCCCAAAGUCAUGGUUAAGUGGGAAACGAUGUGGGAAGGCCCAGACAGCCAGGAUGUUGGCUUAGAAGCAGCCAUCAUUUAAAGAAAGCGUAAUAGCUCACUGGUCGAGUCGGCCUGCGCGGAAGAUGUAACGGGGCUAAACCAUGCACCGAAGCUGCGGCAGCGACGCUGAUGCGUUGUUGGGUAGGGGAGCGUUCUGUAAGCCUGUGAAGGUGUGUCGUGAGGCAUGCUGGAGGUAUCAGAAGUGCGAAUGCUGACAUAAGUAACGAUAAAGCGGGUGAAAAGCCCGCUCGCCGGAAGACCAAGGGUUCCUGUCCAACGUUAAUCGGGGCAGGGUGAGUCGACCCCUAAGGCGAGGCCGAAAGGCGUAGUCGAUGGGAAACGGGUUAAUAUUCCCGUACUUGGUGUUACUGCGAAGGGGGGACGGAGAAGGCUAUGUUGGCCGGGCGACGGUUGUCCCGGUUUAAGCGUGUAGGUGUGUGUUCCAGGUAAAUCCGGUUCACUUUAACACUGAGGCGUGAUGACGAGGCACUACGGUGCUGAAGCAACAAAUGCCCUGCUUCCAGGAAAAGCCUCUAAGCAUCAGGUAACAUCAAAUCGUACCCCAAACCGACACAGGUGGUCAGGUAGAGAAUACCAAGGCGCUUGAGAGAACUCGGGUGAAGGAACUAGGCAAAAUGGUGCCGUAACUUCGGGAGAAGGCACGCUGACACGUAGGUGAAGUGAUUUACUCACGGAGCUGAAGUCAGUCGAAGAUACCAGCUGGCUGCAACUGUUUAUUAAAAACACAGCACUGUGCAAACACGAAAGUGGACGUAUACGGUGUGACGCCUGCCCGGUGCCGGAAGGUUAAUUGAUGGGGUCAGCGCAAGCGAAGCUCCUGAUCGAAGCCCCGGUAAACGGCGGCCGUAACUAUAACGGUCCUAAGGUAGCGAAAUUCCUUGUCGGGUAAGUUCCGACCUGCACGAAUGGCGUAAUGAUGGCCAGGCUGUCUCCACCCGAGACUCAGUGAAAUUGAACUCGCUGUGAAGAUGCAGUGUACCCGCGGCAAGACGGAAAGACCCCGUGAACCUUUACUAUAGCUUGACACUGAACAUUGAGCCUUGAUGUGUAGGAUAGGUGGGAGGCUUUGAAGUGUGGACGCCAGUCUGCAUGGAGCCGACCUUGAAAUACCACCCUUUAAUGUUUGAUGUUCUAACGUGGACCCGUAAUCCGGGUUGCGGACAGUGUCUGGUGGGUAGUUUGACUGGGGCGGUCUCCUCCUAAAGAGUAACGGAGGAGCACGAAGGUUGGCUAAUCCUGGUCGGACAUCAGGAGGUUAGUGCAAUGGCAUAAGCCAGCUUGACUGCGAGCGUGACGGCGCGAGCAGGUGCGAAAGCAGGUCAUAGUGAUCCGGUGGUUCUGAAUGGAAGGGCCAUCGCUCAACGGAUAAAAGGUACUCCGGGGAUAACAGGCUGAUACCGCCCAAGAGUUCAUAUCGACGGCGGUGUUUGGCACCUCGAUGUCGGCUCAUCACAUCCUGGGGCUGAAGUAGGUCCCAAGGGUAUGGCUGUUCGCCAUUUAAAGUGGUACGCGAGCUGGGUUUAGAACGUCGUGAGACAGUUCGGUCCCUAUCUGCCGUGGGCGCUGGAGAACUGAGGGGGGCUGCUCCUAGUACGAGAGGACCGGAGUGGACGCAUCACUGGUGUUCGGGUUGUCAUGCCAAUGGCAUUGCCCGGUAGCUAAAUGCGGAAGAGAUAAGUGCUGAAAGCAUCUAAGCACGAAACUUGCCCCGAGAUGAGUUCUCCCUGAGACUUUAAGUCUCCUGAAGGAACGUUGAAGACGACGACGUUGAUAGGCCGGGUGUGUAAGCGCAGCGAUGCGUUGAGCUAACCGGUACUAAUGAACCGUGAGGCUUAACCUUACAACGCCGAAG
rnacentral:rRNA from 3 species